GCAUGUGCGGACGAUGGCUUCUGU
rnacentral:piRNA from 1 species